rnacentral:rRNA from 1 species
GAUGAACGCUAGCUGGAGGCUUAAUACAUGCAAGUCGAGCGGGAUUGGGUAGCAAUACCCAUGAGAGCGGCGCACGGGUGAGUAACGCGUACACGACCUACCUCUGACAGGGGGAUAGCCCUGGGAAACUGGGAUUAAUACCGCAUAUUAUUCUGAAUAAUAAAGGUUUGGAAUGAAAGCUGAGGCGGUCAGAGAUGGGUGUGCGUCUGAUUAGCUAGUUGGUAGGGUAACGGCCUACCAAGGCGAUGAUCAGUAGGGGGCGUGAGGGCGUGGUCCCCCACACGGGUACUGAGACAUGGACCCGACUCCUACGGGAGGCAGCAGUAAGGAAUAUUGGUCAAUGGGCGAAAGCCUGAACCAGCCAUCCAGCGUGCAGGAAGAAGGCCCUAUGGGUUGUAAACUGCUUUUAUCAGGGAAGAAACCUCUGGAUUUACUCCGGAGCUGACGGUACCUGAAGAAUAAGCACCGGCUAACUCCGUGCCAGCAGCCGCGGUAAUGUGUG